CCCAUCCGCUCCUGUUGGUUUCUGGCCUCUUUUCCUCUAGCCACCGUCCACUGCCAUGUCCUCCCUGCAUGAAACUCCUUCUCUCUUGGCAAGCAUUUUGUCACAGCUACAGAAAAAGCCUGGCACAACUGCUUAAGAGAGACACAAGAACAGAAAUACAAAGAGAGAGCCUGCAAAUAGCAGCCUGGACAAAACAAGCGUAGGGAGAGCCCAGUCCUGUAAAUGAAUAAUUACUCUCAAAAGGAACUGGGAAACAAAAAUUUCAUGUGAAAACCAUGCACAGGAUAUGAAGUCACAUACAAAUGCAACAGAGAAGAUUUUUGUUACGUUAGGAAGAAACUUCAGCAACUAUCUUCUCUGCAAGCACUGCCCUUCUAUCAAGAUUAACAUGGAUUUGAGAUUCAGACAAAUCUUUGGCAUAUGACUUCACGACUUUGUCUUCAAAGUCAAAUGACUGGCACUGUGAAGAUGCAGGUGUCUGAGGACAUGAAAACUGGCACACUUCCAUGAUACCUUCAAAAACAAGC